UACGAAGGGUGCAAACGUUUGCUCGGAAUUAUUGGGCGUAAAAGCGCACGUAGGCGGCAUUGCAAGUCGGAUGUGAAAUCCCUCGGCUUAACCAAGGAAGUGCAUCCGAAACUGCAGUGCUUGAGUACUUAAGAGGAUCGCGGAAUUCCCGGUGUAGAGGUGAAAUUCGUAGAUAUCAGGAGGAACACCGGUGGCGAAGGCGGAUCUCUGGGCCAUUACUGACGCUGAGGAGCGAAAGCGUGGGGGAGCGAACAGG
rnacentral:rRNA from 1 species